CGACAGGAAGCCUGCUUCUCCCUCUGCCUGUGUCUCUGUCUCUCUCACUGUGUCUCUCAUGAAUGAAUACAUGAAAAAUCUUAAAAAAAAACCCCAAAAAACGAAGAAGAAGAAUUUUGAGGUCUGAGCUUUGAAACACUCCAGUGAGCAAAGGACACUAAGAAGGAGCAGCCCCUGAGCACACAGAGAGCCCAGCGGGAGUGACGCACACAGUGCCAAGGAGGGAGAGGUUAGCUGGGUCAAAUGAUUCUGGCCCAUUGGCCAGGAUGAAGACUGAGCAUAAUAUUGACUUCAGCGGCAUGAAUGUCACUAGUGGGAUUGACAAGAACUCUUCCUGGCAGAGUGGCAGACGAAAGCCAGAUUGGCACAGGUUUCAGCAGAAUGGGAGAAGAGAAAUUGGAGACAGCAAUUAUAGUAACACUUUCUGAGUCUUACUCUAAAGAGCAUGGAGAAAUGAGAUGGAAGCUGAAGGGUAAGUGAGAUCAAGAGAGGCUUAAAAAAUUUUUUUUUUAUUUAAUGUGAAUAGGGACACCUGGGUGGCUCAGCGGUUGAGCAUCUGCCUUUGGCUCAGAGUGUGAUCCUGGAGUCCUGGGAUCAAGUCCCACAUCAGGCUCCUCACAUGGAACCUGCUUCUCCCACUGCCUAUGUCUCUGCCUCUCUCUCUCUCUCUCUCUGUAUGUGUCUGUAUUUCUCAUGAAUAAAUAAGUAAAAUCUUAAAAAAAUUAAAAUUAAAAAUGUGAAUAAUCACAGUAGGUUUGAAUGUUCUAGCAUGUUGCAGGUGCAGGAGUGAGAUGGGAGAAAUGAUGGACUGACGCUCUCAAGGGAUGGCUAGGAUCUCACCCUCACUGUCAAAUGUGACUAUGUUUUGUCCUGAUAAAAAUGUCGUUUUUGGCAGUGGCUCAUCAGAGGAGACCUCUGUGAAACAGCCGUUGCGGGCAUCAGACAGUCUGUAUUGAAUGAAGCAUCUCUUCUAGUGAAUUUGAGGAAUUUUGGAGUUUGUGGGAAGAAGAAGGAAGAAAGAGCACCAGCCCUAUCCCCAGAUGGAGGGUGCGACUUUGGGCAGAAUCACCGGGCUGGCGGGCACCGAGGGGGACAGCUGGUGGGCUCCUCCGAGCAAAGUCAUCAUCAUCAGUUACAGAGGAGAAUAAAACCGCCUCCACCUUGGUGCAGUGAGCUGAGAGCGCUGGAUCCCGAGUUCCUCCAGGAGCUGCUUCCAGGCCCGCGGUUGGACAGUGCCUAUUGUGUGGCCGCGUCCGGAGGCUGGACCCCAGCACUGACACCAGGAGAGCGACUGUAGCUACACGGACACCAGGAAAACCAGACCUUAAGGUAGAAAGAAUUACUAGGCGUAAUGAAGAUCUCUCUGUCAUGACACAACCUUAGAUUUACCAGAAAGAAAUAACAAUGCUUGUGUGCAUCUAGUUUCCUUUAGGACACAAAGGAAGCAACCGUUAGGACAAGUAGACACACUCACCUUCAUGAUGAGAUAUGUUCACAUACACUUUUCACUUUUUUUUUUUUAAGAUUUUAUUUAUUUAUGAGAGAGAGAGAGAGGCAGAGACACAGGCAGAGAGAGAAGCAGGCCCCAUGCAGGGAAGCUGACAUGGGACUUGAUCCCGGGUCUCCAGGAUCAGGCCCUGGGCUGAGGGCGGUGCUAAACCACUGAGCCACCAGGGCUGCCCUCACACUUUUCACUUCUUGAAGACCAAAAGAUAUUUAAACAAUAAGGACAUGAAAAACAAAAAACAAAAAACAAUAAGGACAUGGAAGAUUAAAAAACAAUACUACUAACAACAUUAUGAUAUGUUAUAAACUCCUGCAUCCACAAACUGGAGGACAUAUUUUUUAUAAGAACACAUGUAUAGAAAUUUAAAAACAAAAACAAAAACAAAAAAGAAAUUGACUAUGAAUGAAUGGAUUAUAAAGGUCAUCUUGACAAUUUUCAGAGGUCACAUUUUCUGAGUAUUGUGAAAUUAAGUUAGAAAUCAACUAGAAAGGGGCACCUGGGUGGUUCAGUGGUUGAGCAUCUACCUUUGGCUCAGGUUGCGAUCCUGGGGUCCUGGGAUGGAGUCCCGCAUCAGGCUCCCCAUAGGGAGCCUGCUUCUCCCUCUGCCUCUGUCUCAGCCUAGCUCUCUGUGUCUUUCAUGAAUAAAUACAUGAAAUCUUUUUUAAAAAUGAAGAAG
rnacentral:lncRNA from 12 species